AGUUAGGCGGGUGAGUGAGAAUUGCGACUACGGAUUGCAAGAAGACUUGAGACCGUUUGA
rnacentral:tRNA from 1 species